rfam:Angiostrongylus cantonensis strain Taiwan genome assembly, scaffold: ACAC_contig0006472
GGUUCUGUGGUGCAGUGGUUAUCACGUCUGCUUUACACGCAGAAGAUCUCCGGUUCGAUCCCGGCCAGGUGCU